rnacentral:rRNA from 1 species
CGAACGCUGGCGGCACGCUUAACACAUGCAAGUCGAACGAGGUCCAUGGAGCUUGCUCCGGAAGACCUAGUGGCGAACGGGUGCGUAACACGUGAGAAACCUGCCCUGAACUUGGGAAUAACAGUCGGAAACGACUGCUAAUACCGAAUAUCUUCACGACGUCGCAUGGCGAUGUGAAGAAAGCCUUGUGCGGUUUAGGAGGGUCUCGCGACCUAUCAGCUUGUUGGUGAGGUAACGGCUCACCAAGGCAUCGACGGGUAGCUGGUCUGAGAGGAUGAUCAGCCACACUGGGACUGAGACACGGCCCAGACUCCUACGGGAGGCAGCAGUGGGGAAUAUUGCACAAUGGGCGCAAGCCUGAUGCAGCGAUGCCGCGUGCGGGAUGAAGGCCCUAGGGUUGUAAACCGCUUUCAGUAGGGAAGAAAAUGACGGUACCUACAGAAGAAGGUGCGGCCAACUAC